rnacentral:rRNA from 1 species
GUGCAGCAGGCGCGAAUACUCCGCAAUGCUCGAAAGAGUGGACGGGGGAUUCCAAGUGCCUACGCUUAGCGUAGGCUGUUCAGAUGCCUAAAAAGCAUCUGGAGUAAGGGCUGGGUAAGACGGGUGCCAUCUGCAGUGGUAAUGAAAAAACUUGCUGCUGCAAGGCAUAAGCCGCCGCGGUAAUACCCGCAGCCCGAGUGGUAGUCGAUUUUAUUGGGCCUAAAAGCGUCCGUAUCCGGUCUGAUAAAAUGCUUGGGGUAAAAUCGUCUGGCUUAAACCAGACGAAUUCCGGGUAGACUGUCAGACUUGGGACCGGUUGAGGAAGAGGGUAC